rnacentral:lncRNA from 1 species
GUUCCGGGUAAACUGCCACCAGUGGCGGCCGAAGCACCGGGAAGAGCCACGCAGCCCCUCACGCUGCUGUAAUGGGCGCCAACAUCGCGAGCGAUUCCCAGGUCGUGAGCCCUCGGGCAUCCCGCAGCGUCGGGACAGCCGCAUCACUCAGAGCCAGCGGGGCGGACAAGACCUCAGCCCCGGCCCGCCUCGACCGUCCCCGAGCCCCGCUCUUCCCCGCUGGCCGGCUGCCCGCACAUCACUGACAGCAGUGCUCUGGCCCAAGUCCAGAAACGGGAUCUUCUCUUGGGCCGGUCACACACGGCCCCUGAUGCCUCCCCGCACCUCGUCCUUGUCCUGGAGGCCGCGGGACGCGCUGCCCUCUGGCGUGGCUUCGGUGCCACUAGGAAGAUCUCUGUUCUGCUUAAGAUCCCCGGAAGCCCGAGAAGCCGCAGGAAGCUGGAAGGAGAAGCGAGGGCCAAGGAAGGAGCAGGCGCGAACAGGAGACACAGCCCGAGCUGGGAUGUGACUGGAAAGACCCUACCGGUGAGAGAGCCCCAGGAGCACCGCGGGGUGACCUCAGCCAGUCUCCCCCCGGAGAGCCCGAAUUCCUCAGAGCGCCCUGGCCUGAGGCAGAAGAGCGUCAAUUCCAUUGCUUUCCUUGGCACAAACCACCUCUGACCCACAGGCUUUUAGAAGCUUCGCUGACCCCAGGGCUAGGCUGACAAAUGCGGCCCCAGAAUAAACAAAUCCAGCUUAGGGCGCUGGGGACGGGACACUGCCGCCCCAUCCCACAGUGACAUCGGCGCCGGGCAGCUUUGCGGAUGAGUCACGUGUGGGCGUGUAAAAUCCCAGUGCGCGUUUUUGUAAACACUGUUGCGUUUGAGAAGGAAACUUGCCAGGCACCAUGUGGGGACAAAGGGAAAGGAAGUAUCUUCAAAUCCCAGAAGAGAGAAAAGAGAAUAUUCGAAACCAUGCGAUGCACGCUUUCCUUUUUGUUGACGAACAGUUACAGUGCUGCGUACAAAAGUGAUCCCAAUCUGUUCCUUUAGAAACACGGUUUAUUUAGGGUUAGGAAGGACCUGCGGCUGAGAAGGCGAGAGGGUCCCUUGCCCCUGCAUGACCUGGACGUGCGGGGGGUGGGCUGCACUCGGCGGAGGGUGGCCGCCCCCACCUCUCGGUCGGAAAUCUUAGACCCUAAGAAAGCCUGCAAGCAGCCAGAGAGAGAGACUGUGGUAACUUAAACCCGUUCCUUUGCCUUUGAAAGCACUCUCUGCCACCACGACCUCGACCACCGUCCUGUGCAGCUGGAGAGAGCAGAUGUGAUCAAAAAUGUGGUGAAUGCUUAAAGUUUAAAAAACUACUGCAGUAAAAGAUAGGGCCGGGGAUUUAGCAGCUCAGUGG